rfam:Erinaceus europaeus unplaced genomic scaffold scaffold01023, whole genome shotgun sequence
AUACUCUGGUUUCUCUUCAGAUCACAUGAAUCUUUUGCCAUUUACUAAAGAUUUCCGUGGAGAGGAACAAUUCUGAGUUUUUUUCUAAUUCUUUUUUAAAAAAAUUUUAAUAUUUA